CACAGCUCAAGGAUAAAUAAAAGUAAGAACAGCAAAGUCAAGCAACAACAUAAUAAGUCCUAGACAUAGAAUAUCUACUCCUCUUCAAAAAGAAACUCAAUGAUAGGUGGAGAAAAAGAUGAGGAGGGGGUAGUUCUCUUACUUGGAUCCCUGCAGAGGGCCCAGAGCUAAGAGAAGGAAAGCCAGAACUAGUUCUAACAAUAGAACUUAAGGGUGGUCAGG
rnacentral:lncRNA from 1 species